rnacentral:lncRNA from 1 species
UCAAGGUGGUAUCAUCAUAUGUAACCAAUCUGAUGAAACAGUAGACUUCUUUUUCCUGUGGCGGUAUCUGUCGGAAUCCAAUGUUCGUGCAGCCGUAAUCAUAUCCGAAGAUACUGGUAUACUUCGAUCAGACACUUUUCCUUUCCCAGGAGUGGUAAUUACCCCCAAAGAUGCGAAAGAUGUAAUCAACUACGCAUCUAAGAGUGCUGACCCACUUGCUAGCAUUGAGUUUCAACAAACAAUCUUGGGAACAGAGCCCAGAUCUGCUCCAGCAGUAUCGGGAUCCUCAUCAAGGGGUCCUGGACGAAGCUACCCAGGCAUACUAAAGCCAGACAUAAUGGCACCAGGAGUGUUAAUCUUAGCAGCCUACUAUCCUUAUACUAAUGUUGCAAGCAUUGGUAACAACAUAUUCUUGUCCAGUGACUACACACUCUUGUCAGGUACAUCAAUGUCUUGUCCUCAUAUAUCUGGAAUUGCAGCCCUUCUCAAAGCCACACAUCCCGACUGGAGUCCUGCAGCUAUUCGAUCCGCCAUGAUGACCACCGCAAAUCCACUUGAUAACACUCAGAAACCCAUCAAGGACAUGGGAAACGAUUAUCAAGUUGCUACGCCACUCGACAUGGGGGCAGGACAAGUUGAUCCUAAUCGCGCUCUUGAUCCAGGACUCAUUUAUGAUGCUACCCCACAAGACUACGUAAACUUUGUUUGUGCGUUGAAUUUUACUCGAGAACAAACUCAAACUAUCAUACGAUCAAGCUACAAUUGCUCAAAUUCAUCAUUGGAUCUGAAUUAUCCAUCUUUCAUCGCUCUUUACGACAUUGAAGAAAAAGGAAGUGCAUUGAAUCAAAAAUUCCACAGGACUGUCACAAAUGUAGGAGAUGGUGUUGCUACAUACAAAGUCAAAGUUAAAAGACCAAAGGAUUCUACCAUCACUGUAUCACCAGAAACAUUAGUCUUCCAAAAGAAGUACGAGAAUCGAAGCUAUUCUGUGAGCAUACGUUAUAGGAGUUACAGUAGGACUGUUAUUAACGAUGGUUCACUCACUUGGAUUGACGAGAAUGGCAAGCACUCGGUGAGGAGUCCCAUUGUGGUUACUCGACGAGUCUUUAAUGACUAGGUUUUAUGGCAUUAUAACGAUAUGUAUCCUUCAUCAUUUUAGUAGAACAUAAUCCUAUUCCAAUUCUUAAAACUAAUGCCAACUACAGGAAACAUUGGUAUGGCUAAAUUAAAAGUGCAUGGAUUAUAUUAAAAUUGAGAAAAAAAAAAUCUUCAUUUUACCCAUGCAUUUGUUCACGAAAAUGCAAUA